rnacentral:rRNA from 1 species
UACGUAGGUGGCAAGCGUUGUCCGGCGUUAUUGGGCGUAAAGCGCGCGCAGGCGGUGCGGUAAGUCUCUGGUGAAAGCGCUCGGCUUAACUGGGCGAGGGCCGGGGAGACUGCCACGCUGGAGGGGAGCAGAGGCGAGUGGAAUUCCGGGUGUAGUGGUGAAAUGCGUAGAGAUCCGGAGGAACACCAGUGGCGAAGGCGGCUCGCUGGGCUCUACCUGACGCUGAGGCGCGAAAGCGUGGGGAGCGAACCGG